UGCAUGCAGGGAGAGAGGAUGGUCUCCUACAGCUCUAUUGAUUUUCUCUCUGUCUCUGCUCCACAGCAUCCCUCACUUCUCUCUUCUUCUCUCUUCUGCUUCGCCUCGGAGAGAGUGGUUCUCUAACAAAGACCUCAGCGGCCGCCGGCCAACUCUGACCCUUCCCCAUCAUGGCACUCCAUUGGCUCUCCGCUGUGCUGCUGAAAGAACCCUCCGCGUCCAGACACUGACAUUUGAUUCUGCAGGAAUUACUGAGUCCACCUGGCCGUGCUGCUGCUCCAGUUUCAACUGUUCUGCCUGCGGCUAUGUUGAUUGGAUGCUGUGUCCCUUGGUGAGGCGAUAGCCGACGCCCACUCUGCACCCGUCAAUCUCCAGUGACGUCCCUUUGUCACACGCUCCGCCAGCCACCGCCCACCCGAGCCACACAGCCAAUGAAAAUACAGCUUAGGUGAGAUGACAGAUGAAGUCCUAAUUGGGUUUUUCAAGAGGCUCCGGGCUGAGGCGAAUCAAAAGGUCCUGAUUCCUUUGUCUUCUCCUCGACCUGAGCCACCU
rnacentral:lncRNA from 1 species